AGAAAGGAGAAGAACCCCAUUUCAUUAUCUCUCGCUGUUGUCCUAGUUGCGGGAGAAAACGCAGAAGAAGACCUUGUGAAAACAAUUGGAAUUGGAAUGACAAAGGGUUUUCUAGCUACUUUACUUUUUGACGAUAAAGGCUCUGUUUGGUAACACAAAUAAGCUAGCUUAUAACUUAUUAUAUGAGCUUAUAAGCUUGUUUCAAAA
rnacentral:lncRNA from 1 species